rnacentral:rRNA from 1 species
AUACGAAGGGGGCAAGCGUUGUUCGGAAUAACUGGGCGUAAAGCGCACGUAGGCGGAAUGUUAAGUUAGAGGUGAAAUCCCAGGGCUCAACCCUGGAACUGCCUUUAAUACUGGCAAUCUAGAGACCGAGAGAGGUGAGUGGAAUUCCGAGUGUAGAGGUGAAAUUCGUAGAUAUUCGGAGGAACACCAGUGGCGAAGGCGGCUCACUGGCUCGGUACCGACGCUGAGGUGCGAAAGCGUGGGGAGCAAACAGGAUUAGAAACCCUAGUAGUCC